CCUACGGGAGGCAGCAGUGAGGAAUAUUGGUCAAUGGUCGGGAGACUGAACCAGCCAAGCCGCGUGAGGGAGGAAGGUACAGAGUAUCGUAAACCUCUUUUGUCAGGGAACAAAGGCGGGGACGUGUCCCCGGCUGAGUGUACCUUACGAAAAAGCAUCGGCUAACUCCGUGCCAGCAGCCGCGGUAAUCCGGAGGAUGCGAGCGUUAUCCGGUUUUAUUGGGUUUAAAGGGUGCGCAGGCGGUCUGUUAAGUCAGCGGUCAAAGCCCGGGGCUCAACCCCGGCCCGCCGUUGAAACUGGCAGUCUCGAGUUGGAGAGAAGUAUGCGGAAUGCGCGGUGUAGCGGUGAAAUGCAUAGAUAUCGCGCAGAACUCCGAUUGCGAAGGCAGCAUGCCGGCUCCACACUGACGCUGAGGCACGAAAGCGUGGGUAUCGAACAGGAUUAGAUACCCUUGUAGUC
rnacentral:rRNA from 1 species